rnacentral:rRNA from 1 species
GUAGGAGGCGAGCGUUAUCCGGAUUUACUGGGCGUAAAGCGCGUGCAGGCGGUCCCUUAAGUCGGACGUGAAAGCUCCUGGCUCAACUAGGAGAGGUCGUUCGAAACUAGGGGACUUGAGGAUGGUAGAGGAGAGUGGAAUUCCCGGUGUAGUGGUGAAAUGCGUAGAUAUCGGGAGGAACACCAGUGGCGAAGGCGGCUCUCUGGGCUAUUCCUGACGCUAAGACGCGAAAGCUAGGGGAGAGAACGGGGAUUAGAAACCCCGGGUAUUCCUAGCCGUAAACGAUGUCAACUAGGUGUAGGGGGUAUCCCAACCCCCCCCCUGUGCUGUAGCUAACGCGUUAAGUUGACCGCCUGGGGACUACGGCCGCAAGGCUA